GAUGAAGAACGUAGCGAAAUGCGAUAAGUAAUGUGAAUUGCAGAAUUCAGUGAAUCAUCGAAUCUUUGAACGCACCUUGCGCUCCUUGGUAUUCCUUGGAGCAUGCCUGUUUGAGUAUCAUGAAAUUCUCAAAACAAACCUUUUGUUAAUUCAUUGGGUUCUGUUUUGGACUUGGAGGCCUUGCGGAUUCACGUCUGCUCCUCUUAAAAGCAUUAGCUGGAUCUCAGUGAGCUCGGUUCCACUCGGCGUGAUAAGUAUCACUCGCUGAGGACACACGUAAAAAAGGUGGCCGGGAUUUGCAGAUGAACCGCUUCUAAUAGUCCAUUGAAUUGGACAACAUACUUUAUGAUCUGAUCUCAAAUCAGGUAGGACUACCCGCUGAACUUAAGCAUAUCAAUAAGCGGAGGA
rnacentral:misc_RNA from 1 species